ACCUUCUCUAUGUUCACUUUAAGAGGAAGUUCUAAAAAUUGAGGUGCUCACUCCCUCUCUCUCCUUUUUGAUGACUGUGAUAGACUUGCCAAAGCAGUAUAACUUCAUUGUCUGGAAUUUGGUUAAUUCCAAUGCAAAUACAAAAAUCAAAUACUUGAACAGAGCUUUGAAAAUAUUUUCAUUUUUGAGGAUUUUCAUUGUUAUGGGCUUGAGCCUGUAGAAGUCUCUGUGUAAGCUACAUAGAGCAAAUCUAAUCUAUUCACACUGAAGUCAGGGCUCUAUAAAAGACUGUGGGAACAUUCAUCCUCCACUCUCUCAGAGACUCUUUUAGGUGGCACUGGCUGAGGCAGAAUGAAUACAGCUGCUGAUUCUGAUCUCACACUGGGUAUAUCCCUGAAUGCUGGAAAAAACAUCACCCUUAGAAGUGUGCGUUCAGCCAGCUGCCUUUGGAGAGAGCUGGGAAGGGUGCAAAGUGGCAUGUCCUUUACCAGUCACUCUUUCUGGGCCAAUGCUCAUCCAGAAAUGAGACAGAACUAUGGGUUUACUGCAAAUGACCAGCAUCAGCAAAGCAACCAAGACUACCAACUUUGGGUAAUGUGUCCCACAUCUCAGAUGUCAGCUGAUAUAAAACAUUACAGUAAAGAAUUAUGAGUGUUCACUCUGCAAUGAAAAAAUGAAGCAGCAGAAGGUGAAUGUGAAAGAAUAAGAAAAGCCCUGCAGAAAACCCGUUAGCCCAUGUUUUCAACUGUAAUGUGGAUGUGGGAUGGGAAGAGGGACAAUGACAUAGUACCGACCAGGUUCCAGAAACUAUUCCAAGUGCUUUACAUGAUAAAAAUCUCUUAAUUGUCUCGGAGAGGCUGAGGCAGGAGAAUGGCGUGAACCCGGGAGGCGGAGCUUGCAGUGAGCCGAGAUUGUGCCACUGCACUCCAGCCUGGGCGACAGAGCGAGACUCCGUCUCAAAAAAAAAAAAAAACUCUUAAUUGUCUCAAUGACCAUACGAAGUAUAUCUCUAGUGUUGCCCCUAUUUAAUACAUGACAAAACCUUACUGAUAUCUGUAUAGCUAGUAAGUAGGAGAGACAGGAUUCAAUCUGUCAGCCCAACUCUGGCGGUGCCCGUGUCCCCGCUCUGUGAUCCUGCCAGGCAGCCACAGCCAGGAGUCCUUGUUUUAGAUAUUCCCCAUGUCUGCUGCUGAACUAGACCCUAACGGUGGAUUCUUGAUACAUCCUUACCCAAGGAUAACCCAUAAGUUUUCAUGACAUUACCACGGACUCGUCUUGCUUGUGAAACCAAGUAAUAGUACAAACAGAAGAAUCAUGUGUUAAGAAUUUUUUGAAGUAAAUGAUUCUGUCAUCAUUAUUCUUAAAGAAAGUGAUGUGCCCAAGGUCACACACUUAGUCACUGGUCAGUCCUGGGGCAAACACCCCUUGAUGUCCAGCCCUUGAGUCAGGAUGAUUGCCUCAUCUAGAAGGCACCAUGGGCACUCUGCCUGAAUCCAGGAACCUCUGGAGUUGUAUAUGGCUCUGUCCAAGACAAAGGGAUCCGCUGUACAAGAUCCACAGAAGCCCUGGCUCUAAAUUAAAAACAGCACAACAACAACAUUGCAGCAACAACAAAAUAGUAAUAAAAUAAAAGGUGGGAAGACCUCGAGAGCAUAAAAAUUUCCUUAAACUGAUCAUCAAGGAAAGGAAAGGGAGGGUUCCUUCUUUAAAGAGGCAAGUGCCCAGCAGGAACCUAAAACUCAUUACUAUUCUGUAUUUUCUUUUUUCAUGACUAAAAAGUUUUUCUAUCCUCCCCCUUCCUAUCCCUAUCAAAAGACUACCCCCUCCGCAAGACAAUCACAAACUUUAAAAGUAGCAAGCCCUCACUUCAAACAAAAUGUAAAAAUAAAAAUUCAAAAACCCA